rnacentral:rRNA from 1 species
GCCAGACUCCUACGGGAGGCAGCAGUGAGGAAUAUUGGUCAAUGGGCUUACGCCUGAACCAGCCAAGUCGCGUGAGGGAAGACUGCCCUAUGGGUUGUAAACCUCUUUUGUCAGGUAGCAAUUGGCGCUACGUGUAGCGUUAUCGAGAGUACCUGAAGAAAAAGCAUCGGCUAACUCCGUGCCAGCAGCCGCGGUAAUACGGAGGAUGCGAGCGUUAUCCGGAUUUAUUGGGUUUAAAGGGUGCGUAGGCGGGGUGUUAAGUCAGGGUUAAAGGCCCGGGGCUAACCCCCGGCGAGCCGUUGAAACUGGCUGUCUUGAGAUGUCGAGAGGUAUGCGGAAUGCGCAGUGUAGCGGUGAAAUGCUUAGAUAUCGCGCAGAACUCCGAUUGCGAAGGCAGCAUGCCGGCUCCACACUGACGCUGAGGCACGAAAGCGUGGGUAUCGAACAGGAUUAGAUACCCCGGUAU